GUCCACGCCCUAAACGAUGUCAACUAGGUGUUGGGGAAGUGAUUCCUUGGUACCGCAGCUAACGCGUGAAGUUGACCGCCUGGGGAGUACGGUCGCAAGAUUAAAACUCAAAGGAAUUGACGGGGACCCGCACAAGCGGUGGAUGAUGUGGAUUAAUUCGAUGCAACGCGAAAACCUUACCUACCCUUGACAUGCCAGGAAUCCUGCUGAGAGGCGGGAGUGCCCGAAAGGGAGCCUGGACACAGGUGCUGCAUGGCUGUCGU
rnacentral:rRNA from 1 species